rnacentral:rRNA from 1 species
CCUACGGGCGGCAGCAGUGAGGAAUAUUGGUCAAUGGGCGCGAGCCUGAACCAGCCAAGUAGCGUGAAGGAUGACUGCCCUACGGGUUGUAAACUUCUUUUAUAAAGGAAUAAAGUGAGGCAAGUGUGCCUUUUUGUAUGUCCUUUAUGAUUAAGGCUCGGCUAACUCCGUGCCAGCAGCCGCGGUAAUUCGGAGGAUCCGAGCGUUAUCCGGAUUUAUUGGGGUUAACGGGACGGUAGAUGGGUUGUUAAGUUAGUUGUGAAAGUUUGCGGCUCAACCGUAAAAUUGCAAUUGAUACUGGCAGCCUUGAGUACAGUUGAGGUAGGCGGAAUUCGUGGUGUAGCGGUGAAAUGCUUAGAGAUCACGAAGAACUCAGAUUGCGAAGGCAGCCUACUAAACUGCCACUGACAUUGAUGCGCGAAAGUGUGGGUAUCAAACAGGAUUAGAUACCCCAGUAGUC